CUGGGCUCAAAAUGGAACGAGUUCGCUUUUGUUCUGCUCAGGGCUAUUAGGAUGAUGUGGGACCGGGAUGGGAGCUCGGGGUGUCACUGGAAGGCCGGAACAAAAAGAUGAGGACACUGAGGCUAAGACAUUUAAGUGACUUGACCAGAGUUUGAGGAAUGAUUUUAAUCCAGUCUUCCCAAUUUUAAGAACUCUGGGAUUCCUAGAGGCCUGUGGUUGUCUUAGAUUAAAGAUGUGGCCAUAUGGCCAUGUGGUGGGGAUUGCUCUUCUUCUG